rnacentral:misc_RNA from 1 species
GAAAUGCGAUAAGUAAUGUGAAUUGCAGAAUUCAGUGAAUCAUCGAAUCUUUGAACGCACCUUGCGCCUUUUGGUAUUCCGAAAGGCAUGCCUGUUUGAGUGUCAUGAAAUCUCAAUCCCCCCGGGUUUAUGAUCUGGGUCGGACUUGGACAUGGGCGUCUGCCGGUCACACGGCUCGCCUCAAAUGACUUAGUGGAUCUCUCUGCAUCCGUGACAGACGUAAUAAGUUUCGUCUUGUCCCUUGCUAAUGAGUCUGCUCAUAACCUGCCAUCGCGCACUUUUAGACUCUGACCUCAAAUCAGGUAGGACUACCCGCUGAACUUAA